UACGUAGGGUGCGAGCGUUGUCCGGAAUUAUUGGGCGUAAAGAGCUCGUAGGCGGUUUGUCGCGUCGGCCGUGAAAACUUGGGGCUUAACUCCAAGCUGCAGUCGAUACGGGCAGGCUAGAGUUCGGUAGGGGAGACUGGAAUUCCUGGUGUAGCGGUGAAAUGCGCAGAUAUCAGGAGGAACACCGGGUGGGCGAAGGCGG
rnacentral:rRNA from 1 species